rnacentral:rRNA from 1 species
CAUGCAAGUCGAGGGGCAGCAUUUCAGUUUGCUUGCAAACUGGAGAUGGCGACCGGCGCACGGGUGAGUAACACGUAUCCAACCUGCCGAUAACUCGGGGAUAGCCUUUCGAAAGAAAGAUUAAUACCCGAUGGNAUAAUCAGACCGCAUGGUCUUAUUAUUAAAGAAUUUCGGUUAUCGAUGGGGAUGCGUUCCAUUAGGCAGUUGGUGAGGUAACGGCUCACCAAACCUUCGAUGGAUAGGGGUUCUGAGAGGAAGGUCCCCCACAUUGGAACUGAGACACGGUCCAAACUCCUACGGGAGGCAGCAGUGAGGAAUAUUGGUCAAUGGGCGCAGGCCUGAACCAGCCAAGUAGCGUGAAGGAUGACUGCCCUAUGGGUUGUAAACUUCUUUUAUAUGGGAAUAAAGUUUUCCACGUGUGGAAUUUUGUAUGUACCAUAUGAAUAAGGAUCGGCUAACUCCGUGCCAGCAGCCGCGGUAAUACGGAGGAUCCGAGCGUUAUCCGGAUUUAUUGGGUUUAAAGGGAGCGUAGGUGGACAGUUAAGUCAGUUGUGAAAGUUUGCGGCUCAACCGUAAAAUUGCAGUUGAUACUGGCUGUCUUGAGUACAGUAGAGGUUGGGCGGAAUUCGUGGUGUAGCGGUGAAAAUGCUUAGAUAUCACGAAGAACUCCGAUUGCGAAGGCAGCUCACUGGACUGCAACUGACACUGAUGCUCGAAAGUGUGGGUAUCAAACAGGAUUAGAUACCCUGGUAGUCCCACACAGUAAACGAUGAAUACUCGCUGUUUGCGAUAUACAGUAAGCGGCCAAACCAAAGCAUUAAGUAUUCCACCUGGGGGAGUACCCCGGCAACGGGGAAAACUCAAAGGAAUUGACGGGGGNCCCGCACAAGCGGAAGAACAUGGGGUUUAAUUCCAUGAUACCCGAGGAACCUUACCCGGGCUUAAAUUGCAUUUGAAUAAUUUGGAAACAGNNUAGCCGNAAGGCAAAUGUGAAGGUGCUGCAUGGUUGUCGUCAGCUCGUGCCGUGAGGUGUCGGCUUAAGUGCCAUAACGAGCGCAACCCUUAUCUUUAGUUACUAACAGGUCAUGCUGAGGACUCUAGAGAGACUGCCGUCGUAAGAUGUGAGGAAGGUGGGGAUGACGUCAAAUCAGCACGGCCCUUACGUCCGGGGCUACACACGUGUUACAAUGGGGGGUACAGAAGGCAGCUACCUGGUGACAGGAUGCUAAUCCCAAAAGCCUCUCUCAGUUCGGAUCGAAGUCUGCAACCCGACUUCGUGAAGCUGGAUUCGCUAGUAAUCGCGCAUCAGCCAUGGCGCGGUGAAUACGUUCCCGGGCCUUGUACACACCGCCCGUCAAGCCAUGAAAGCCGGGGGUACCUGAAGUACGUAACCGCAAGGAGCUCCUAGG